rnacentral:tRNA from 1 species
GGGCCUCUAGCUCAGUUGGUAGAGCAGCGGACUUUUAAUCCGUAGGUCGUGGGUUCGAGCCCCACGGGGCCCAC